AUUGAACGCUGGCGGCAGGCCUAAUACAUGCAAGUCGAACGGUAACAUGGAAGUAGCAAUACUUUUGUUGACUGAGUGGCGGACGGGUGAGUAACGCGUGGGUAACCUACCUUGUACAGGGGGACAACAGUUGGAAACGACUGCUAAUACCGCAUAAGCGCACGGUACCACAUGGUACAGUGUGAAAAGUAUUUUCGGUACAAGAUGGACCCGCGUCUGAUUAGCUAGUUGGUGAGGUAACGGCUCACCAAGGCGACGAUCAGUAGGGGUUCUGAGAGGAAGGUCCCCCACAUUGGAACUGAGACACGGUCCAAACUCC
rnacentral:rRNA from 1 species